UAAACUACAAGCCUUCACUUUUCUUAUUUCAUCUACUUAGGCUCAGAGUUUUUUGGCUUUCAGUUUGAAAUCUUACAAAGUAUGAUGAUCUCUUUAAAUUUCUCUCAAGUCUUUUAUGUACAUUGAAAGGCAAAAAAAAGGUUUCCCAACUCCUAGGCAGCCUACUCAUACAAGCUGCAUGUUAGUAAAUAUUAUCUCAUGCAUUGUAGGCCAUCUACCUGAUGCUUGGUAGUAAUGCUAAACCACUUCAAGGCCUCAAUUUCAGAACCAGCUACUUGAUCUAACCCCCUUGGGUUUACUUAAAUCUCCACAGAAAUCAAAAGCUUAUCUUGCAUCAUUGGAUAGGUUAGAUUUGAAUUUGCUGUCUCUGGACAAGACCCAGAUAGUCCCCAGGUGGCAAAGUCAUUUGUCUAAACAUGAGGAGCACCAUUUCGACACAUCUGUCCUACAGAUUCACCAAGGGAGACUGGUGAUCAUUUUCAAAGGAGAUUUAGCACAUCUUAUCCCUGUUAUAAUAUGAUCUCACAAUUUAGACUUGUGUAGGUAUACAUACAUCAAUCAUCCUUCAAAAGUUAGGUUCUAGCUAGCUAAUCAGGGGGGGGUGGUGUACACAAGAAUCUAACAAUUGAGAGUUUGCAUAUCUGGAAAAAAGAGAUGUAUGCUAGAAUCUUGAUCAGGAAAAUACAAGAUGCUCAAUAUAAAAUGCUCAGGGUUUUUCAUGCACACAACAAACCCAUGGAUAAGUUGCAGAGUUUUGUGUUUCCAGAAUGGAGAGAAUGAAAAGGAGCUGAUAAAUAAUGUGCUGUUUAUAUUUGUAGAGUGGAGAAUAUUUAUUACCAUAUAUGAGGAUGGAUCUUGAUACAAUGUUAAGGUCCUCCAUCACAUUAAAGAUCAAAAUUGGAGGCAAAGAAAUUGUGCCUCCAAGUAUAGAAGAAAGGCCAUGCAUAUUGAUUCUUUUCGGAUUCUAUUAUUUUUUAUUUUUUAUUUUUGAUAUAUUAUUUCUAAUGAUUGACAUUGUAAUCAUAUAGAUUUUGCUAUAGAAAUGCAAGUCUAAAAACCGGAGAAAUAAUUUACCUUCACAAAAUAUUUAUCAUAUUUUAAAAUGAUAAAUAAUUCAAUUUGAUAGUUCUCAACCUUAUAAUAAUGUUGAACAUAAUGUUGCUAGAAAUUAUAGUAUAUAACUCUUUGGAUUGUACAAGGAUUAUGUCUAUUUAGGUUUUUAUGAUGAAUUUUUUGUAGGAUUAUAGAUGUACUUUAAGGAGAUUUUAGUGAUGUGAUAUAUAAAAAAUUCCAAAAGGUUAUAAUAGAAAUUAAAAAUAAUAAUUUAAAUAUAUUAAUUUAACCAAAACUAUUAUUCUAUAUAGAGCUUAAUGAUAAAAAUAUUAGAUUUAAGGAUAGUUGAAAUUAAAGAUAUAUAUCGAUUCGUUACAGCGUGACAUAACAGUCCGCGUUAUCGAUUCGAUGGGACAGCAGCGGCUCAAAAUAUCUUACCAGGUUCGGUGCGCCGUUACGCUCGGUCGUCGCGCCGUUAACGUGUCUUCGUCAUGUUCCGUAUCCUCUGGUAUAACGAAAACCUGCGGCUCGGUGAACCCAGAGAGAUCCAUAAAUGUCGAGCACUUCCUCCUCCCCCAAGCCCGACUCCGUUCAUCGAAAUCCCGUGAUCGAUCCCUAGAUUCGCCUCGUGUUGCUUCUGCUACUCUCCGAGAUCUGCCUUCUCGCGGAUCAGGUUGAGAUUUGGCUUCGUUCGAGUCAGUCGAAGCUCGGCGAAGCUGCGUGGUUUCGGAUCCUUCGGGAAGUGGUUUUGCGGACAAAGAUUGGACUUUCGUGGGAGUUGGGAGCUUCCGAGGUUGCAGCCGUCGGCGAUUUUGAGAUUUGAACUCGUCAUCAAGGAACGAUGCGAGUUUGUUUUCUGGAGCUAUGUUUUCCUUCCAAAACUCCUGAUUUCGAGGUUCGGCGUCCGAGGUUGAAAUUUUCCGUUGGUCACCGUUCCUGAGAAGGGUUUCCUUUUAUCCUGCUAAUGUUGAGAAAAAAAGGUUCUUUUUGGGCGUUGAAAUCGAUCACAAUUAUGGGAUUCUUAUCUUUUGUU